rnacentral:lncRNA from 1 species
GUCCCAGUGGUCGUAUUCAUAUCUAAGCCUCCUCAUAUAUGGGUCAACUUCAUUAAAAAGUGACAUUUCUUCGUUUUCACUAAGGAAAUCUUCUUUUACCAACAUAUUGGUAUGAAUUUCUUUUUCUAAAGAGAUAUCCUUAGUAUCAUAAUAAGUCGUUAUAUUACUUGAAAUUGUUUUAUUUACGCCCUCAUUUAUCCGCAUUGAAAACAGACUAGUCAAAUUGACCUUUGUUAAUGGCUUAAGCAAUCUGCUUAAUUUCAUUUUCCUUCCAUAGCUUUGUAGCAUUUUCUUCUACUUAAGCAGGGAUGACCUACAACCGUUUACAUUUCAGAAGUCUAUGAAAGUUGUUCGAAGUUGUUGUCAAAACUCCAUCUUGGAAUCUGUAUCAGCGCUGC